ensembl:lncRNA
AAGUCAGAGGCUCACACAGCUGUUUAUCAUUAUCUCUCAGGGAAUCUGUGGGUUGAUUGAACUCCGCUGGGUGGUUUUUUCACCCUGGUCUCUCUCCUGCAGCUUUAUUUAGAUAAGGGGGCUGGGUGCCUUCACCUCAUCCCUGGUGCCUCUGUGUUUCUCCAAAUGGCCUCACCCCGCUGCGGGCUGAAAGAGCCCGUGAAGGGCUAAGCCCGCCACCACUUCUGCUGUCCUCUAUCUGUCAGAACAGUCACAGCGCCUGCCUGGAUUCAAGGGGGAGGGAAAGAAAUGGAUUCCACCUCUUCAUGGGGAAAGAGAGAGAUGGUUGUGGCCAUUUUUGGAAAAUACAGUCCACUGCAGGGGGCAUAAAAGUUAGACAUUUAUAUCAGAAACAGAUAUUCCUUAUGAUUAAGAGCAAGGCAAAUAAAAUAAAUGGGCAAAACUAUACAAAAUGCUAAACCAAAAAAAAAUCCCUCUCCCCUGGAGGAAACAAAGGUAGCAAGAUUUUUACCUCAGGUCAACCCAGGCCCCUUGCCAGAAGAUGAAAGCGCCCUUUAGCUGGAAGGAAAUGAGCCAAAACACAAGUUGGACUUGGUGGAUGUACCCAAAGAGCAAGGUUGUAAGAAACUGAAAAUCCAGCUCACUGAAACCGAGUUCCCCUGCACUCUCUAUCCACGAGCCACCCUCUGCAGAGAUAUUCCAGGGAGGCCCUCCCCAAACAGGAAGCCACUUGGAGAAUUUUCUUCCACUCCAUCGUACCAGGAUAAUCAGUUCUUCCUUGCCUGUAAUUCCAUCAGGCAUUCUCUUCCCCAUCUUCCAAACUCAGUCACUGCCACUCCUGUGUCCUGAAGCUAUUUCUGGAGCGUCCCUCUAUUGGGGCAUUAACUCUGCCCUUGCAGACUUGCCACUGCAACUUUCUCAAUAGUAGGCGGUCUAUUCUCUCACACUCUAUGUACCUUAAGCUCAGAGGGUGAGUUUGCUGUUCUCUGUGCUCCCCAUUGCUACCUGCAGACAUUCUAGUGGCUCAACUUUUUAUUUAAAAUAAUACAAAAAGCAAACACAUGUUUCUCUCGAGGCUCAUGCCAUUUGGGUAAACUAUUCCGUUUACCUCUUCAGAACAGCCAUCUCCCCGAAUUCCAGUCACUCCUGCUCUCUCACAAGAACCCUGACACUUGACUCCCAAUCUUCCUUUAAGAUGACCUUAAAUCUUGUUGUCAUUCUGUUUGUCCAGAAGAGUCAUGCAUUACACCUGUUUCCCAAUUUCUCAUCCAAUUGGCGCUCUGGUCCCCUCAAAAGUGUCCCAUCUCAACAGUUCUAUGUGAUCACCCUAACCCUGGGUGACUUAACAUUUUGCUACUUUUUGGCAUCUUACUUCCUUGACCAUCUCAGACACCCAGGCCCUUGGUCACACCCUGGACAUUGUCAACAUCCAUAAUCUCACUGCCUCCAGAAGCAAACUUCAAACUGCCUCCCUUCUGACCACAAUGACCCAUCCUUCCAGCUGGCUUGUUUUGGCCACUCCUAUUACAGCUAAAUGUUCUCCAAACCUAGGUAACCAGCUCUGCAGGAGGGCCACAUGAAUGAGCAGACUGCUUCUGCCACCAUCACCAAUUUCAGACUCAGGCUGCCUGGAAAUCCCAUUAUAUUCUUCUAAGCAACUCACUCUUGGAUUCUUAGCAAUGCCCUUGUUAAACUUUCUCCAGCUCCCUAAAUCUAUGACCUGCUAACCUCCUAUCAACCCCCUCCCCCAGCAGAUGAUCCUACUUCUUUUUUUACUUUACAAAGAAACUAGAGGCUUCAGAUACUAUUUUACACAAUCUCAUGGAUGAGAAAACAAUCCUGGACAUGGUCCCCAUGGUCCUAACCUGGCUUGUCCCUACUGAUCUUUCUUCAGUAGCCCUGCCUCAUACCAGUGCUCCCAGGAUGCCAGUCUCACUGGUUUACACUUAAUUUCUAAUCCCUUCUGCCCCUCUCCCACCCCCAACCCAGCCCAUCAGCAAUACUGCAGGUUCUGGUUUCAUACUGUAUCUUGGAUCCAAACUCUUCUCAUUAUCCCCACUGUUCAAAUCCUGAUCAAAGCUACCACCAUCCUUCAUCUGGAUGGUCCCCACAGCCUCCUAAAUGUCCUCUUACUGCUUUUCCUCUUGUCCCAUCUGACUGAGCUUCCAAUCACGGGCCAGCACGAUGGCACACAGCAGAAAUCGAAUCACUUGCUAAAAACCUUCCAAUAUCUCCCCGCUACAAUUAGAAUAAAACCCAACGUCCUCAAGGCUGACUCCCAGCCCUGCUUGGUCUGGCACCUGCCUACCUCUCUGUCCCCAGCCUUUACCACUGCCCGACUCUUUUGCCAUAUUCCAGUUACCCUGCCUUUUUAACCCUCUCCGUUCCUUCCUCAAGAUCUUUUCUUGCUUUCUUCACUAUGAAUGCUUUUCCAAGUCUCUGAAUGGCUGCCCCUUUCCAUUAUUUUGCAGAGGUGUUCCUUAACCUCUUUUGCCAUGAAAGUCACUCUGCUGCUUGGCUCUGCCUCUUCACCCAGUACUGAGACUGUUCAGAACCUCCCACUGGCUGCCCAUCACUCAGAGCAAGACCCCUACUAGACCAGAACAGUCCCUUCCUUGCUGUUUUUCUAACAUCUUGAGUGCCCUCCUAACCCAAGCUUUUGAAUGUGCUUCUCCUUUUGCUUGGAAUAUUCUCAUCCAAAAAUCCACAUGGACUGCUCUCUCAUCCAUUUCAGUUCAGUUCAGUUCAGUCGCUCAGUCAUGUCCGACUCUUUGCAUGAAUCACAGCACGCCAGGCCUCCCUGUCCAUCACCAACUCCCGGAGUUCACUCAAACUCAUGUCCAUCAAGUCGGUGAUGCCAUCCAGCCAUCUCAUCCUCUGUCAUCCCCUUCUCCUCCUGCCUCCAACCCCUCCCAGCAUCAGAGUCUUUUCCAAUGAGUCAACUCUUCGCAUGAGGUGGCCAAAGUACUGGAGUUUCAGCUUUAGCAUCAUUCCUUCCAAAGAAAUCCCA